rnacentral:rRNA from 1 species
GAUGAACGCUGGCGGCGUGCCUAAUACAUGCAAGUCGAGCGAACAGAUAAGGAGCUUGCUCCUUUGACGUUAGCGGCGGACGGGUGAGUAACACGUGGGUAACCUACCUAUAAGACUGGGAUAACUUCGGGAAACCGGAGCUAAUACCGGAUAAUAUUUCGAACCGCAUGGUUCGAUAGUGAAAGAUGGUUUUGCUAUCACUUAUAGAUGGACCCGCGCCGUAUUAGCUAGUUGGUAAGGUAACGGCUUACCAAGGCGACGAUACGUAGCCGACCUGAGAGGGUGAUCGGCCACACUGGAACUGAGACACGGUCCAGACUCCUACGGGAGGCAGCAGUAGGGAAUCUUCCGCAAUGGGCGAAAGCCUGACGGAGCAACGCCGCGUGAGUGAUGAAGGUCUUCGGAUCGUAAAACUCUGUUAUUAGGGAAGAGCAUACGUGUAAGUAACUGUGCACGUCUUGACGGUACCUAAUCAGAAAGCCACGGCUAACUACGUG